ACUGGGCGGCCGGACGGGCCCCGGCCCGCGGGCGCGGCCGCGCGGGGGGCAGCGCCGUGCCGCCGCAGGAGCGUGGGGCAGGCAGCAGGCCUGCAGGGAGCAGCCGGCAGUGUGGCACGGCAGGCCGAGCGCGGGUUCAAAGGUGCACUUUAAUGAUUACCAAGUCAUGCUACUUUGAGAGUUAAAAUCGAAAGCUCCGUCACGGAGAAUUCAUUCCCGGCAAGUGCAAGCAUUUGCAUAUCCUAGCAUUGAUCUAUUGACAUGUAUCCCUACUUCUAUGUGUUUCCAGUCUUCCACGUCUAGAUGUCCUCUGUUAUUUCUAGUGAUAACUGAAAUGUUGUGGGCCUUAUAGAUGAAAGUUUAACACUUUGCAUUUGCUGCUUGCGUCAGAUACCUUAGUAUGUCUCUGACAAAUAGGGUAUAUUUUUUUCAGCAAUGCCCAACCCAAAUUCCAGUUCAUUGUCAUGAAUCGCCGGAAUACUGGUAUUUUAGCAUGUAAUUUUCUUGAGCUUGUUUGAUCUGGUAUGAUAGAUUAUUAUUCUACCCUUUGCAAGACUUACACAUGAGAAUAAUUCAAUCAUGUGACAUGAAUGGUGAUCGGUAUGAACCUGCCGGUUCAAAACUUCAAGUAGCAUAUUGGGGAACUGUUUUUUUCUGGGGAACUGUUUUUUCUGUGAACAAUCGUGAUCUUUGCUAACUGCUCUUUGCUCCUGCCAUUAGGAAGUAGUUGGAAUUUUAGAUAAUUCCAUCUUAUAAACUUCAAUGUUGGUCUUAUAUGGGAUACCAUGAACUUGGACAUGCUCUUAUACUUCAGCCCCCCCCUAUGUAUUUUUUCUGGAUCCGCCACUGUCUGUAUCCAAAUGCACCAACUCAUAGCAAUAAUAAUAUUAAUAUCCAUGAAGAAGGGGACUCCCAACUGGAUCUUUAAAGUUUCAAGUGUGACAAAAGGCUCAUCAAAACCAACGGCAAUACCAAUUUUGGACCAGCAAGCUUGUGCAAAAUUGCAGUGGAUAAACAAGUGUGCCAGAGAUUCCUCCACAACUAUGUUGCAGCAAGCACAAUCAUACGAGGGGAGGGCCAUGUUCCUUCUCUUAAGUAAUUCUCUUGUAGAUAGUCUAUCCUGAAGAAGAAGCCAAAACAAAACCCUAUGCUUAUUUUGGCAAGCUGAUUUCCAAAGCCAUGUAAAAGUCACAGGAACCAUUCUAUGUCCUGUGCUGUGGAUCUCAUCUGUAUUGAAAACAUCAGCGUUGUCAUCGGUACUCAGAACAUUUUACAAGCUGAAUUCAUAACUUAUCUAGCAAACAAGACUAAGGUUCCUGUUAUCAGUUUCUCAGCAACAAGGGACACUCAGUAGUCAGUAUCAUGUCCCAUACUUUGUUCGUGCUUGUGUCAAGGACUCCUUCCAAGCAGCUUCAAUUGCUGCCUUUGUUAAAGCAUAUGGCUGGAAAAAUGUUGUCAUUGUCUAUGAGGACAAUGAUUAUGGUGUGGGCAUCCUCCCUUCCAUUACUGAUGCCCUUCAAAGUGUUGAGACACAUGUCAUUUACCGUUCUGCCAUUCCUGCUUCUUCACCAAACAGUAUCAUUGAUUUGGGACUAUAUAAGCUCAUGACCAUGCAGACACGUGUCUUCAUUGUCCAUAUGUUGCCAGCUCGUGCUUCCCGUUUCUUUGCUCGAGCUUCAGCAGCUGGCAUGAUGACUGAAGGGUAUGUCUGGAUUGUUACAGAUAAUGUUGGCAUCAGCCUUGAUGUACUUCCCCAACAUACCAUUGAAACCAUGCAAGGUGUUGUCGGUUUCCGGCCAUAUGUAGCAAAGUCUGCGAGGAACAUAGACUUCGUGGGUCGAUUUAUUGCACGAAUUGGAGCCAAAUACCAUCAACACCCUAAUAUAAGGAUUGCAAAACCUACCAUCUACCAAUUCUGGGCGUAUGAUGUGGCAUGGGCAGUUGCAAUUGCAACUGAGAAGGUAAAGAGAUUCAGAUUUUCAAAUAAAUGCUUUCAGAUGCCAGAAGGUAUGAACAGGAGCUUAAUAGAUACUCUCCUACCAUCUCCUGUUGGGCCAGAAGUCCUCGGUGCCAUUUUGGAAACAGACUUUGAUGGAUUGGCUGGGAGAUUCACACUUGUGGAUAGACAUAUGCAAGUUCCUGUUUAUGAGAUUGUCAAUGUGAUUGGAGAUCAAGCAAAGGGCAUUGGGUUUUGGAGCCCAGCUUCUGGACUGUCGAGGAUUCUAAACUCAAGCACAAGCCAUGGACAAACUAAUUUUAGCAUAGACGCAGGUGAAAUCCAGUGGCCAGGAGGUUCAAAAAUGGUUCCCAAAGGUUGGGACUUACCAGUGAAUGGAAAAAUACUCCGGAUUGGUGUCCCUAUAAGACAUGCCUUUAACAUUUUUAUGAGUGUUGAUACUAUUCCUGGCACCAAUACAGUAAGUGUCAGUGGCUACAGCAUUGAUGUCUUUGAGGCUGCUGUGAAGAAACUCCCAUAUGCUCUUCGCUAUAAUUACAUUCCAUUUGAUUGUGCAAAUUCUUAUGACAAGCUGGUAACCAGUGUGUACCUCAAGGAGUUUGAUGCAGCAGUGGGUGACAUGACAAUUAUCGCUAACCGAGCUACAGAUGUGGACUUCACAAUGCCAUACACGGAGUCUGGCGUGUCAAUGCUUGUACUAGCCAAGAACAAUGAUAAACUGUCCAUGUGGAUCUUCUUAGAGCCACUAACAAAUGAUCUCUGGAUUGCUACUACAAUAUUUAUCUUUUUCACCGGCCUAGUUGUAUGGAUGAGUGAAUAUCCUACAAAUGAAGAAUUCCAAGGGUCAAGAUUAAAACAGUUCAGCACCGCUUUCUACUUUAUAUUCUCCACAUUGACCUUCUCUCAUGAUCAAAUUAUCAGGCGCCUUCCGUCGAAAGUUCUUGUGGUUAUUUGGUGCUUUGUGGUGUUAACUCUAGUUCAGAGUUAUACGGCAAGCUUGUCGUCAUUGCUAACUGCGAAGAGGUUCCAACCUUCAGUGACUGGUCCGAGUCAACUCUUGCGCAAUGGUGAUUAUGUCGGAUACCAGAAUGGAUCAUUUGUGCUUGCGAAGCUUAAGCAGCUCAAGUUCGAUGAGCGCAAGAUAAAGGUGUUCAGCACGCCAGAGGAAUAUGCAAAGGCAUUGAGGGCAGGAUCAAACAAUGGAGGGGUAUCAGCUAUCUUUGAUGAGAUCCCCUAUCUAAAUACUUUUCUCGUGCAAUAUGGAUCAGAGUUCCAGAUAGUUGGUCACAUCGAUAGUGCUGCUGGAUUUGGUUUUGUUUUCCCUAGAGGCUCUCCAUUGGUACCUGACCUUUCAAGGGCCAUCUUGGACUUGAGAGAGGGGCACGAAGGGUUUGCAAUACAACAGAAAUGGUUCGGGGAUGCAACUCCUUCACUCGAUUAUGGUGGUCGUGGCACUGAUUACGCGCGUCUCAGCUUAAAAAGUUUUGCAGGCCUCUUCAUCAUCAAUAGCUUUGUGCUAGUAAUUGUUCUGGCCAUAGCUUUGUUUAGGCUUGUUUGGGCCUACCAGAGGCGUUCCCAUGUUAAUGGAGAAACUGUUGGUGACACGGAACCACAACCAUUGCAGGAUGACAUGGCCACGAACUCUGUGCCUGCUGAGUCACUCCAGGCUGAGACUAUUGGUGACAUCGGUCAUCAACAACUGCGCUUGGCCAUCGCCUCUGUGCCUGUUGAAUCACUCGAGGUUGAGACGACGACCAGCUAGAGCAUUAGCGGUUAUCGUCAGGUUGCUUUCUGUAGGUUCUAUAUGUCCUCCAGUUCAAUAUAAGAUAGAACAAUGUCGUCGCUCCAGUAUGCACAUGCUACCCUAGUGAUGCUGCUUAUGUGGUCUGGUUAAUUAGCUAGUGGUUCUUCGUUCUAGUACUGUAAGGAGUAAGAGAGCAAUAGUAGCCGUUGGUUUAUGUUCCUUCAGUUAAUUGUCAUCUCUGAUGAAACUCCAUCUUGUCUUUCUUUUAAUUAUUCUUGUUGAAUUGUUAACCGUUGUUUGGUUGAUGUUAUCAUUGGACAGUUUGAUUUAUGGUCAUUGAGGAACAACAUGAACAGCUGCAAUAUAUUAGUGCUGUACAAAACUAUGAUUCUUCCUUUUUUAUAUUAAGAAACAAUUUUGUCA